GAACGCAUCUUGCGCCCUUUGGUAUUCCGAAGGGCAUGCCUGUUUGAGUGUCAUGAAAACAUCAUCCCAUCGGGUUUCCGAUGACGAUGGAUUUGGGUGUUGCCGUCCGGCUCGCCUCAAAAGCCUUAGUGAUUCCGAGGUCGAAUCUGGCGUAAUAAGUUUCGCUGGCCAAGACUGAGAGGACCGCUCAUAACCCGUCUUCUGACAUUUUUUGCUCUGACCUCAAAUCAGGUAGGACUACCCGCUGAACUUAAG
rnacentral:misc_RNA from 1 species